UACAGAGGGCCCAAGCGUUGUUCGGAUUCACUGGGCGUAAAGCGCGCGUAGGUGGCCUCAUAAGUCCGCUGUGAAAGUCAAAGGCUCAACCUUUGAAAGCCGGUGGAUACUGUGAGGCUAGAGUACGGAAGAGGCGAGUGGAAUUCCUGGUGUAGCGGUGGAAUGCGCAGAUAUCAGGAGGAACACCAAUAGCGAAGGCAGCUCGCUGGGACGUUACUGACACUGAGGCGCGAAAGCGUGGGGAGCGAACAGG
rnacentral:rRNA from 1 species